rnacentral:rRNA from 1 species
CAGCAGCAGCCACGGGAAGACAGAGGAUGCAAGCGUUAUCCGGAAUGAUUGGGCGUAAAGUGUCUGUAGGUGGCUUUUCAAGUCCGCCGUCAAAUCCCAGGGCUCAACCCUGGACAGGUGGUGGAAACUACCAAGCUGGAGUAUGGUAGGGGCAGAGGGAAUUUCCGGUGGAGCGGUGAAAUGCAUUGAGAUCGGAAAGAACACCAACGGCGAAAGCACUCUGCUGGGCCGACAUUGACACUGAGAGACGAAAGGUAGGGGAGCAAAUGGGAUUAGAUACCCCAGUAGUCCCUGUCUCUUAUAC